rnacentral:rRNA from 1 species
GACGAACGCUGGCGGCGUGCUUAACACAUGCAAGUCGAACGGAAAGGCCCUGCUCUUGUGGGGUGCUUGUGUGGCGAACGGGUGAGUAACACGCGUGUAACCUGUCCUUGACUUUGGGAUAACAUCAGGAAACUGGGGCUAAUACAGGAUAGGAGCUCCUGAUGCAUGGUGGGGGAUGGAAAGAUUCGGCGGUUGGGGAUGGACUAGCGGCUUAUCAGCUUGUUGGUGGGGUAGUGGCUUACCAAGGCUUUGACGGGUAGCCGGCCUGGGAGGGGGACCGGCCACAUUGGGACUGAGAGACGGCCCAGACUCCUACGGGAGGCAGCAGUGGGGAAUAUUGCACAAUGGGCGGAAGCCUGAUGCAGCGACGCCGCGUGCGGGAUGACGGCCUUCGGGUGGUAAACCGCUUUCGCCUGUGACGAAGCGUGAGUGACGGUAAUGGGUAAAGAAGCACCGGCUAACUACGUG